UCAAACUUGGUCAUUUAGAGGAAGUAAAAGUCGUAACAAGGUUUCCGUAGGUGAACCUGCGGAAGGAUCAUUAUCGAUUCACGGGAACGGGGAUGUGCUGGCUCGAAUCCAAUCGAGCAUUGUGUCACUCCUCUUCCCUAAUCUUCUUGCAUUUGACCCUGUGCACUUUUUGUAUGCGAGGAUGGUAACCUUCUCGCCUACGCAUUUUUUAUUAUUAACGCUAUCUUGUAUAGGAUGAUUUUGAUUCAUGUAAUCGUAACAUCUUUCAACAAUGGAUCUCUUGGCUCUCGCAUCGAUGAAGAACGCAGC
rnacentral:misc_RNA from 1 species